CAGUGAAUUUUGAUGUUUUGUUUUUUUAGUUUUGAAUUUGAUUUUGAAUUUUGGUUUUGAUUACAAUUUGAAAAGUAGGUUAUGAUAAGUAUAUUGAGUUUUUGUAACAAAUUAAAUUAAUAAUGCGCUGGAUAUCAGGAUGAAAAUUGUGUUUACGACCAUUUUAUUCAUAAUCUUUAUAUUUUGACGAUUUUGGUAAAAUGUCGGUAGAGAAAAGGCCUAAUAGUCCAGAGAACUCUGAGGAAGCAGAAGAUGGGGAAGGCUGGAUCGGGCCUAUGCCUUCAGAGGCUUCAGCAAAUGCACCUAAGCCUAAGAAAAAGAAAGUUCUGGAGUUUGAAUCUCUGUAUCUGGAAAACUUGCCGUCAUCUGAAACAUAUGAAAAGAGUUACAUGCACCGGGAUGUUGUCACACAUGUGGUGGUGACCAAAACUGACUUCGUCAUCACUGCCAGUCAGGACGGACACUUGAAGUUUUGGAAAAAGCAGGAGGAAGGCAUAGAGUUUGUGAAGCACUUCCGGUGUCACCUGGCGCCCAUCAGCCAUGUCUCGGCCAACAGCACGGGCACUCUUCUGUGCACCGCCUCCACGGAGAAGACUGUCAAAGUGUUUGACGUUGUCAACUUUGAUAUGAUCAACAUGAUAACAAUAGAGUUUGAACCAUAUUGCACGGAGUGGGUGCACUCUGCCGGCGACCCCAUAUCAGCUUUGGCCAUAUCAGAGAAAGGAGCAAACAAAAUCCACAUAUUCGACGGCACCCAAGUCUCCGGCACUCCCCUGCAUACAUUUUGUUUACAUCAGAAUGAGGUUGCCACCAUAAAGUAUAACCCGGUGUAUGAAGCCGCUGUGUCAGUAGACAAGGCCGGGAUAGUGGAGUAUUGGACCGGACCGAAGUAUGAGUUUGAGUUUCCCAAAAACGUGAAAUUUAAGUCAAAAUUGAGCACAGAUUUGUUCGACUUUGUAAAGAAUAAGACAUAUCCGACCGCUUUGGACUUUUCGCCUGAUGGUAAAAAGAUGGCCACCAUUAGUUUGGAUAGAAAGGUCAGAAUAUUCCACUUCCUGACGGGCAAAUUGCACAAAGUCUUGGAUGAGAGCUUGCAGCGCUUCCAGGAGCUGCAGCAUCAGACCCAGCAGCUCCCCAACAUGGAGUUCGGGAGACGCAUGGCGACGGAGCGCGAGCUGGACAAGUCGGAGGCGGCGCAGCUCGCCAACGUGGUGUUCGACAGCAGCGGGCACUUCGUGGCGUACUGCACCAUGCUGGGCGCCAAGCUCGUCAACCUCGCCACCAACCGCUGCGCCGCGCUGCUCGGCAAGCCCGAGAACCUGCGCCCGCUGCACCUCGCGCUCUUCCAGGUGAUACACUUCGUGGCGUACUGCACCAUGCUGGGCGCCGAGCUCGUCAACCUCGCCACCAACCGCUGCGCCGCGCUGCUCGGCAAGCCCGAGAACCUGCGCCCGCUGCACCUCGCGCUCUUCCAGGGUCGCACAAACCAGUCCAAGCUGGCGACGACGCUAGAGAUGGAGGGGUCGGACAACCCCACGCUGCUCAACAUCAAGACGGACCCCACGCUGUUCUGCACGGCGUACAAGAAGAACCGCUUCUACAUGUUCACGCGGCGCGGGCCCGACGACGUCCGCAGCCCCGACGCCGACCGGGACAUUUUCAAUGAGAAGCCCUCCAAGGAGGACAUCAUCUCUGCUACUGAGGGACAGGGGGUCCAGCGCCUGUACGAGCAAGCGGUGCUGCACACGUCUCUGGGCGACGUGCACAUCCGGCUGUUCGGCAAGGACGCGCCGCGCACGGUGGAGAACUUCUGCGGGCACGCGCGCAACGGGUACUUCAACGGGCACAUCUUCCACCGCGUCAUCAAGGGGUUCAUGGUGCAGACUGGAGACCCCACCGGCACAGGCACGGGCGGCGAGAGCAUCUGGGGCGGAGAGUUCGCGGAUGAGUUCCGGCCGCAGCUGAAGCACGACCGGCCCUACACCGUGAGCAUGGCCAACGCGGGGCCCAACACCAACGGCAGCCAGUUCUUCAUCACGCUGGCGCCCACCGUGAGUACCGCUGACCUCUGACACUGACCAACGGCCGCAGCAGAAGCACGACCGGCCCUACACCGUGAGCAUGGCCAACGCGGGGCCCAACACCAACGGCAGCCAGUUCUUCAUCACGCUGGCGCCCACCCCGUGGCUGGACAACAAGCACACGGUGUUCGGGCGCGUGGUGCGCGGCAUGGAGGUGGUGCAGAACAUCGGCGGCGUCAAGACCAACCCCAAGACGGACAAGCCCUACGACGACAUCCGCGUCAUCUCCGUCACUGUUAAAUGAAUAGCUCUAAUAAUAAAUAUUUUCAUAUA